rnacentral:misc_RNA from 1 species
UCAGAUGCUUCCACUGUGCUGAUUAA